rnacentral:rRNA from 1 species
AGCUCCAAUAGCGUAUAUUAAAGUUGUUGCAGUUAAAAAGCUCGUAGUUGAACUUUAGGUUUCGGGAGUGUUGGAAAAAUGUAUAUGCUAGAUUGAGUAGGUUGCUUCGGUGAUUUUAUUCGACUAGUGUAUUUACAACAUUCUUGGGCCUUUAUGUUUCUGGAGAUUAAAAUAUUAUUUACGCAAGUGAGUAGUAUUUUACUACCAGAACCUUUUACCUUGAAAAAAUUAGAGUGUUCAAAGCAGGCAUUUUGCCUGAAUAUAUUAGCAUGGAAUAAUAAAAUAGGACUUUGGUUCUAUUUUGUUGGUUUUCAGAACCGAGGUAAUGAUUAAUAGGGACAGUUGGGGGCAUUUGUAUGGCGUUGUCAGUGGUGAAAUACUUGAACCAAUGCCAGACAAACUGAUGCGAAAGCGUCUGCCAAGGAUGUUUUCA